UAAUAAUCCACUAUUACUGUUGGUUCAGUAUUGAAAAAGCGUCCUGACCGCCCCCUAGAGGUCGCAUUACAGGUUGUUUGAGGUUCCUUUUAGUUUAGGUUGGAGUGAGACAUGAACAUGGCAUAAAUCAAAAUCAGUUUUCGUCUGAGAAAAGGUAAUCACAUAAUUAACAUGGAUUCUUAAUCAUUUAGUUGGAAAGACCUAGUAAUACCAAAAAGCAAAUCCUAUGAAGUAAUGUUUGCAUUUUAUUCUUGUUGUAUAGACACAGCUCCAUAAUCCAUAAAAAUAAUAACAAAUGGUAAAAUUAUACAAUAUACAUGUUCUAUAGGGAAAAGAACACAUUGCCCCAUCAUAUUAUAAUUUUUAAAUAAGUUAAACAAAACAACAGGAAGUGGCCGUCUAUCGCUCCUGUCACUUCCGGCUACCAUCUUUGGUAACUAAAGAGUUAGCCAGCGAAAUAAAAUGCUACGAUAUCAAGACAACUUGUUCAACAAGUUUGAUAUUUUGUUCAGGCUGAAGAAACACAAGAGGGCUUUGAAACUGUGCAAGGGGAUGAACUACAACAAUAGAUGCUGGUUGCACCAUGCUUCCUUGGAUCCAUUGCAAGUUUUUCCCAGUCCGCUUAUGUACGCUGGUCAGCUGGUGGCGUUCCUGAUCAGAGAUCCAGAGCCUGUCUUCAAAUAGUGCAAGAUCAAAAGGUUGGCCUGGAACAAAUUAGGGCAGAUGACAAGAAAAUCUGAGUUGACUCAGUGAUUCCAGGACUCGUCGAUCUGAACCAUCCAGGGCGGCAGUCUCUAUUGUGCCUUUCCUCUGAUCACACCAGAAUACUCGGUCCUCUGUGAAGUCAAUUGUCAGGCCAGUGGGCGACACAAG